GGCUAAACCAUGCACCGAAGCUGCGGCAGCGACACUAUGUGUUGUUGGGUAGGGGAGCGUUCUGUAAGCCUGCGAAGGUGUGCUGUGAGGCAUGCUGGAGGGAUCAGAAGUGCGAAUGCUGACAUAAGUAACGAUAAAGCGGGUGAAAAGCCCGCUCGCCGGAAGACCAAGGGUUCCUGUCCAACGUUAAUCGGGGCAGGGUGAGUCGACCCCUAAGGCGAGGCCGAAAGGCGUAGUCGAUGGGAAACAGGUUAAUAUUCCUGUACUUGGUGUUACUGCGAAGGGGGGACGGAGAAGGCUAUGUUAGCCGGGCGACGGUUGUCCCGGUUUAAGCAUGUAGGCUGGUUGUCCAGGCAAAUCCGGAUAAUCAAGGCUGAGGUGUGAUGACGAGGCACUACGGUGCUGAAGUAACAAAUGCCCUGCUUCCAGGAAAAGCCUCUAAGCAUCAGGUAACAUUAAAUCGUACCCCAAACCGACACAGGUGGUCAGGUAGAGAAUACCAAGGCGCUUGAGAGAACUCGGGUGAAGGAACUAGGCAAAAUGGUGCCGUAACUUCGGGAGAAGGCACGCUGG
rnacentral:rRNA from 1 species